UACGGAGGGUGCAAGCGUUGUUCGGAAUCAUUGGGCGUAAAGGGAGCGCAGGUGGGUUGGAAAGUCGGAUGUGAAAGCCCUCGGCUCACCCGAGGAAGUGCAUUCGAAACUCCCAACCUUGAGUACUGGAGAGGGUAGCGGAAUUCCCGGUGUAGAGGUGAAAUUCGUAGAUAUCGGGAGGAACACCAGUGGCGAAGGCGGCUACCUGGACAGAUACUGACACUGAGGCUCGAAAGCGUGGGUAGCAAACAGG
rnacentral:rRNA from 1 species